UUCCACCAGCUUCCUCUCACCGUGGAGCCCUAAGGCCUCAGCAGACACGCUGACUUCUUUUCAGAACAAAGCACAGCAAAACAAAACACACAGCGGCUGCUGAAUGGAAAACACUUGCACUCUAGAAAGGCUGGCAAAUUCCCUGCCUCGUCCCACCCUGCACGGACAGGGCCCUCUCUGCCCAGCCACCUCCUGGUGCACCCCGCUGUAUCUCUGACCACACUUUAAAUGUGCACCCUAGGAGGUGGAUGCUCUGCAGAGAGUGUGUGUGUCUGAUCUGAGGCCUGUGGUCCCCUGAAGAAAGACCAACAGGACUGGGUGCCAUCCUGUGCCCAAGUUGUUCCCAGGAGGAGAAAGCCUGUAGGAGGGGAGCAAGCUCCCAUUCUGCCUCCAUUCCUUGCAAGGUCAGCCAGCUACAUGCUUUCUUCUGGCUGGGCCCCUGAGGGCAAUUGUUGCUUUUUCCUCUUGAGGAGUCUUUUUAUUUUCAGAGUGGCAGGGAGGAUGGUUUAUGGUGAGUAUGGACCUAAAUGAGAAGGGCUGGGCUGCCAUGAGCGGCUGCUGCAGGCUGUGCACUGCACAAGGCCAAGGCUUACCAUUUGCAUGGUCUGCGGAGGAAUGGUGCUCCUGAGAGCUGUUCUCUGCAGCAGCUUUGCUCAUGGGGCACUGGUGAGCAGCAAACAGAAUCAUCGUCUUCAUCACCAUCAGCAGGAGCAGUGACUUUACCAAUGAUUGAUCAGCUGUUAUGUGCCAGGCUCUGUGCUAAGUGCUUUACAUUUUAUCCUCCCCUCCACCCUAUAUCAGGUAAGUACUGUUAUAUCUCAUCCCCAUUUUAUAAGUGAGAACACUGAGGCCAAAGGAAUUAAGUGAUCGGUCAGAGGUCAGUCAGAUCGGGAGUGAUGGGGCUGUAAUCCAAAUGCUGGGCUGGCUGACUCCUAAGUUCACACUUUGUCUUCAUUCAUGAUACAAAAGAGAUGUCUGUUUUCCUGAGGCCCACGGGCAGGGGAGGCAGGACUCCUAAGCCUGGGCCCUCUGACUGCCUGGGCCAGUGUUUCCGUGCCAGAAACCCUGUCUCAGAGGGCAGGAAAGAGAAUGGGGAGCCCUUGCAGAAUGUGGUUGGAUCCUUCUCUCUUGGCUCUGUCAUCCUUGCCUUGGGAUGUCCUCCCAACACAGGCCAUUAAUCUCACUCAAGGGCCAGUGCUGGCAGCGGUUAUGCUGGGGACAUCUACAUACCUUGCAUUCCUCCCCUUUCACAGAAAGGAAGAAGAAAUGGAAUUUCUGUCAGAUUGCUUGAACUCACUCUCUGGAAUCACUGCGCCCAUCUUUUCAGAGAUGUUGCUACCAGAAUCAUUCCCCCCUUCUCUUAUUUAUAUACACUCACACAAUUAGAUAUAACUAUAUUCACACAUAGACACAUAUUACAACUUGAACUUAGCACCUGCUCUUGAUAUGUAUGCCCAGAAGGCUGUCACACAAUCUUGCACACACCCACACAUUUGCACAUGCCCAUCCAGCUGAGCAACAUGUAUUUACACAGCACACACAUUUGCAUCAUAUCUGUUCAUGUGCAUGCAUGUGCACAGCUGUUCCCCUUAACUGCAGAAUGAAGUGAGCACAGCAGCACAGAACAACAGCUGGUAGGAAGCAUGUUUGUCGGGGUGUGGGGAGUGCAGGAGAGAGGAGGUGGGGUGGGGCCGGGAAGAAGUGAGUACUAGCAGAACAGAGGCUUGCAAAAGACUGCAGCAACCAGCCCCAGCUGGCUGUAGGGGCUCACAGUCUUGUCACUUAGAAGGUCUGUCUGAGAGACCUUGGUGGAGUGCAGCUUCAGCAUUUGGGGCCACAGCUCUGCAGGCUUUUUCUCUAAAAGGCUGCCCUAUUUGUGUUGUGUGUCCCUGUACACGUGCGUAUUUGGCUCAGGCUGACUUUCCAUACACAGACAGGGCUCUAUUUUUGGAUGUCUUGGUUCUCAUGAGUUGUGGCUAAGUGAGGAAGUCUGAGUCUCUCCUGAUGCCCACGCUUCCAGGAUGGCUCCUGGCUGUCUGCGUUAGCAGGUCACUUUUGGGCUAGCUACCUAUACCAGUCCAAAGGCUUGAUACAGGAACCACAUCAGAAUUGGUGACAAAACAAGCUGGGGGGCUCCUAAAGGAAGAUACUGGGAUUCUCAAUAGGCCAUCACCCAAGGGAAGCAGUAUUCUCCUCCUGCGACCAUGCCAUGGGAUGAAAGCCUCUGCCCUGUAUGUCUGGCCACCUUGCUAAAAACUGUCAGCCAGCUCUAGGCAGCUCCAGAGCUGUAUGACAGGAGUGGGAGGACUCUUGGGUCAGAACUGUAUUUGUGGGUGGUAAAUUUAUAUCUUACCCACUGAAUAUAGCUUUUUAUGGCUCAAGACAUAGGUUUGGUUUUCUUAAAAAAAGGUUUUCUUAAUUCAAAAAAUGUACACAUUUAUAGUAAGAAUACAAACAGUACAAAGAUGUCAGUCCUUUUCUACUCGUGCCAAAAUUAUAAACAGUUUAUUUGCAUCAUUCUGCAAAUUUUAUAUAUGUCUUUGUGAUAUGGUUUGGAGGUUUGUCCUCUUCAAAUCUCAUGUUGAAAUGUGAUCCCCAGUAUUGAAGGUGGGGCCUGGUGGGAGGUGAUUGGGUCAUGAGGUCGGAUUCCUCAGGAAUGGUUUGGCACUAACCUCUUGGUGAUAAGUGAGUUGUUGAUCAGUUUGUUCACAUGAGAUCUGGUUGUUUAAAAGUCUGAGACCUCUCCUUCCCUCUCUCUUGCACCUUCUCUCCCCAUGUGAUGUACCUGCUCCUGCUUCACCUUCUGCCAUGAUUGGAAGCUUCCUGAGGCCUCACCAGAAGCUGAGAAGAUACUGGAACCGUGCUUCCUGUACAGCCUGCAGAACUAAUCUGGCCCCUGUGCUGUGAGAAGCCUACCCCACAUGGAAAUAUACACAGAGGAAAAUGGAGGCAGUGGCCAAAAACAUAAGUCAAGCUCCUAGUCAACAGCCAGUGCUGAUUAUCAGCCAUGUGAGUGAACCACUAGGGCCUUCUAGCCCAGUCAAGCCUUCAGAUGACUGCAGCCCCCGAUGUCACUAUACGGAGCAGGUGAACCACUCAACUGAACAUUGCCAAGCCACAGAACCAUGAAAGUUAGUACAUGGUGGGGAAGACUGGAAAUAGAGUCCUUUAUCUCAGAUAUCAAACCCUGGCCCAGGAUACACAAGACCAGGAGUCAUCACCAUCAGUAACAGUAACAACAGCUUCAUUAACAAGUUGCUGUUCCGACGUGGGCUCCGGGGUGGGGAAGGAAGGAGGGCGUUCGGCUCAACGUCCAGGAGAGGCACCGGCGAACUCGAGAGCCAAGAGCGGCACUCCCACCUGGGCACUCCUUGCUGAUGGACCGGGACCUCCUCUCCCAUUUCUCCGGGGCCUCCAGGGCCCUCCCGCACAUUCAGCAUGAUCUCUGAGGAGUUCACUAGCUUUCCUCCCUCCGCUCUCCAGCUCCCGUUCCUACCAAAUGCACCAAUCAUCACUAAGCCAGGUCAAAGGCCAUGGGAUCAGCUGUGAUCUCUCCCUUCCUUUUUCAUUCUCCUCUCCUCAUAUCCAAACUGUCAUUAAACUCAGUGUUUCUUCCUUCAGGCUGUUUCUUGAAUUGGUUUCUUCUCUAUCCCACUAUUACUGUCCUGAUCCGUGCUAAUCCAACAGUUUCUGCCCCCACCCCAGGACAGCUUGUGUUAUCACGGCCAGGUGGAUCUUUCUAGAACACCAAGCUCAGCGUAUCCCUUCUGAUCAACAGAGAAGGAGAGGAGAGCCUACACUGUGCUGGGUCACUGUGUUACGCUAUGUGCUUGUUUCAUUUAAUACCGU
rnacentral:lncRNA from 10 species